AUGUUCAUAAACAUAGUUCAACAAUCCUCAAUUUUGAAAAAUCAAAACUACAAAUCACCCCUGCAUUUUGUUCGUACCAGAAAUCAGAAAACAACGAAAAAGAGAAGAAAGUCAAGAAUUAACGACUUACUGCUCUCACUAACAGAAAAUCAAGAAAAGGACGAGGCAUCUACUUUUACAACUUAG